UGGGGAAUUUUGGACAAUGGGGGAGACCCUGAUCCAGCCAUGCCGCGUGAGUGAAGAAGGCCUUCGGGUUGUAAAGCUCUUUCAGCCGGAACGAAACGGUCACGGUUAAUACCCGUGACUACUGACGGUACCGGAAGAAGAAGCACCGGCUAACUACGUGCCAGCAGCCGCGGUAAUACGUAGGGUGCGAGCGUUAAUCGGAAUUACUGGGCGUAAAGCGUGCGCAGGCGGUUUUGUAAGUCAGAUGUGAAAUCCCGGGCUUAACCUGGGAACUGCGUUUGAAACUACAAGGCUAGAGUGUGGCAGAGGGGGGUGGAAUUCCACGUGUAGCAGUGAAAUGCGUAGAGAUGUGGAGGAACACCGAUGGCGAAGGCAGCCCCCUGAGUUAACACUGACGCUCAGGCACGAAAGCGUGGGGAGCAAACAGGAUUAGAUACCCUGGUAGUCCACGCCCUAAACGAUGUCAACUAGUUGUCGGGUCUUAACGGACUUGGUAACGCAGCUAACGCGUGAAGUUGACCG
rnacentral:rRNA from 1 species